CGGUCCAGACUCCUACGGGAGGCAGCAGUAGGGAAUCUUCCGCAAUGGGCGAAAGCCUGACGGAGCAACGCCGCGUGAGUGAUGAAGGUCUGAUCGUAAAACUCUGUUAUUAGGGAAGAACAUAUGUGUAAGUAACUGUGCACAUCUUGACGGUACCUAAUCAGAAAGCCACGGCUAACUACGUGCCAGCAGCCGCGGUAA
rnacentral:rRNA from 1 species